UAAAGAAUAUAAAUUUUUUAGACUAAAUAAUGCUGAGAGUAGAGCAAAAUGAAGAACCAAUUGAAGCCUAGUAAUAUCAUGGCAGUCUAAGUGCAGAGCCAAGAUCCUGACAGUCCAAAAGAAAAGGAAAGGCUUUGUUGGAGCAGCUUAAGUAAUCAGGAUGAGUUUAGAAAUUUAAACACCAUAAAAUUCAGUUCUUUUCAAAUCAAAACCAAAUAGAUCUACCAAAUGUAUGUAUAUUUCUUGACAGACACAAGAAUAAUGCUGCCUAGAAACACAGCCAAACAAUCAACUCCUGACUAACAGAACAAUUGUCCUGAAAAAUGCAAUCUUUACUGGUAAUACAUUGAAAUAUGACCCAAGUCCUACAUGCAACAAGGACUACCUAACCAACCCACCCAUCCCCGCAUGCAAUUGGAGCAACCAAGAUCAAUCUGAGACAACCAAAUCACUAUUAUCUCAGUAUCUUACCAAUAACUUGUGCUUAGCUCAUCCCACAUGGUACUGAAACCACGACCUGCCCAACAUGACAUUUCUGGCCCAAUACAGUUCACAGUUUGGACCUAAGGAGAGUAAAAGUUCUGGAUGGAUUUUAAACCCAACAAAAUAAUUUUUGUCAAGGUUGGCCCCGAACAGAAAAACAACCAAUUCGACCUAGCUUGUCAAACCAAUUUUCCCUUCAAUUCUCAUUUUGACUCAGUAACUAGCAAUCAAUUCUUGAAACCAAGAGAGGUUUAAAGCUCUACACCGUGCUUUGUUACCAGCAACUUGAAAGAUCAAACAGGAAGAUGACUAAGUAUCCUACCGCAGGAAAACCAACAUAAACGGACAUAUACUGGAAGGAACACUAUAUGCUUUUUCCUAUACUUCUUAGGGGUUCCUGACAUAGCUCUGCUUUAUACAUCAAAUACUAGGAGUCACAUAUCGAUAAUUUUUUUAAUGCAAAACUGGGUGCAAGUGUCUUGUUUUGCGGAAAACUUGUGAGGAUAUAAAACAAACCUGCAUAAAAAAGUUAACCAGCUAGACAAUCAUGAUAUCAUGCAUACAAAAAGCAAAGGAACCUCUGGUCAUAAAACCAAAGUAAAAGGAUGAAAAGGGAUCAUCUAAUGCUUAAGCUUGUUCAACUUCGACCAACAAAGAAAAGAAAAAAAGAGAAUACCACAGGCAGAGCAGUAAAAUGUAAAUAGAACUGGUAAGUAUAUGUUGUUUCUAACUUCCUAGACCUCAAAAUUCAGGCUAAUGAUUAUGGAUAAAAAGUGAGUUUCUUUAUAUCUCUCAGAACUGAUCAUUACAAUAUGGCAGAACGUGUUUCAUACUAGUGGAAUCACUGAUACCCUAAAGGGAUGUCAUUGCCAUAAAGUCAUGAAUGAAGUACCAAAUCUCCCCUGAACAUUUCAUAAGGAUUGACGUGACAUACCAAUUACCAUCACGCACAGUUCAACACAAUAUUCACAUGUAUACACUAGGACUACAAGGUUAUCUCUUCCGUAUCAAUUUACGAAAGAACCUAGUAAAAUUCUAAGAACCUAUUACGUGGCACAUAAACAGUUACAAAAGCAUAAGUAUUAACAUGAGAAGUUAAGCCAGAAAAUUAUUAUCCACAUAAACAAAAACGAGGAACUUGUGGGAUACACCUUCCAGUCUUCCAUCAAAAACCCAAAUGCCAGAAGCCAUAAUAUGGAACAAAUAUGUUGUUUUUCCCACAACAAUUCGAAAUCCUAAACAGACUACUUAUAGCCUAUUUAGAGCAUCUCCAGCAGUCUCCCAAUAAAUGUUUCCCAAUAAAUAGUCAAUAGGGAUAUCCCAAAAUCCAUUUCACUGUUAUUGGGAGAGUUACUUUUGCAGUCUCCCAAUAAUCUCAUCCCAAUCCAACUACCGUAUUGGGAGAGUUAGAGCAUCUCCAGCAGUCUCCCUUUCCCCAAUACAACUACCAUAUUGGGAGAGUUGAUAAGAAAAUAGCGCUCCACCAGUCUCCCUUUACCUUUACCUUUUCCCAAUAAUUAUUGGGACAACCCAAUAAUUCACCUCAACUCUCCCUAAAUAAAGGAGCUGUGACUCUCCCAAUACGGUAGUUGGAUUGGG
rnacentral:lncRNA from 1 species